AGCCUUCAUACAUCUCAAGUUGGGGGACAAAAAAGGGGGAAGGGGGGGCACGAAGGCUCAUCAUUCAAAAUAAAACAAAAUAAAAAAGUAUUAAGGCGAAGAUUAAAAAAAUUUUGCAUUACAUAAUUUACACGAAAGCAAUGCUAUCACCUCCCCUGUGUGGACUUGGGAGAGGACUGGGCCAUUCUCCUUAGAGAGAAGUGGGGUGGCUUUUAGGAUGGCAAGGGACUUCCUGUAACAACGCAUCUCAUAUUUGGAAUGACUAUUAAAAAAACAACAAUGUGCAAUCAAAGUCCUCGGCCACAUUGUGAACUUUGGGGGAUGCUCGCUCCAACCGACUGCUGUCACCUUCACCGUUCCAGUUUUUAAAUCCUGAGUCAAGCCAAAAAAAAAAAAAAAACCAAAACAAAACAAAAAAAACAAAUAAAGCCAUGCCAAUCUCAUCUUGUUUUCUGCGCAAGUUAGGUUUUGUCAAGAAAGGGUGUAACGCAACUAAGUCAUAGUCCGCCUAGAAGCAUUUGCGGUGGACGAUGGAGGGGCCGGACUCGUCAUACUCCUGCUUGCUGAU
rnacentral:lncRNA from 1 species